AUGCUUGUGUCUCCACAGGAGAUGGCGCGUGAUGGUUCCCGGCCAGGCUGGUUCACCUCACAGUGGGUCUUGACCCUUGUGAUGCUGACGAUGCCACUCGGGAGCAUGAGCAGCUUGAUCCAAGCACCCCAUCAUCUGAYGCCCUGGAACAGCAGUAACGUUUGGGUAACCUUGGCAAAGGCACUGAAUCAAACUAUGUUCUGUGCGUCUAUGGCUACGCCGGAACAACCCUUUCACACAUGCUUAGUAGGAAUGCCUCUAGCAAAUAGCACGACAAUUGUGCAAGAUGUGGUUAGUCUGUACAAAAGUUCAGUACAGAACUGCUUGAACACCGUGUCAUGUAUAGAGAAUUGGGACAGUUGCGACGAUUGGCUGCUCACAGCGUCACGUGAGCCACAAGAACUGGACAUAUUAGGCAGCGUGCGCAUGGAAGCCUGCCUCUAUUUUACGUUCGACCCCACAGCAGAACGCCCGGAAUAUUUUAGAAAUGAUACAAAUAGGAUAGACGUAACCCCGAAUAGUCCUAUAUUUCAAAAUGAAUCUAUGUGGUGCAACGAAACCUGUAGAAAUAAAACACAUGGAGCACCGGGUGUAGGAAUGCCACAAAAACUGCCUCCAGGGGUAUUCUUAAUAUGUGGAGACAGGGCGUGGCAAGGCAUCCCGUCAGGCAUGAUGGGAGGGCCAUGUACUCUAGGCCGCUUAACGCUGCUAACACCAAAUAUAUCAAUGAUUUUGAAUCACACACACAUGCAGAGGCACAGAGCAAGACGUAGCACACCGUCAUCUACAUGUAAUGACAAUGUAGAUGUAUGGAAUAAAGGGGAAGCUAUAGCCACCGGCCUGCUUAUGCCCCCAUUAGCAGCUACUAAGGUGCUAUUAGAACUGGACAGGAUGGCCUGCUGGCUAAGUAAGCAAAUGAGUGCAACCACAAUAGCAUUGAGCGGAUUGUCAACAGACCUGGACUCUGUUACACAUGCGACACUGCAAAAUCGGGCCGCCAUCGAUUUUUUGUUACUGGCCCAUGGGCAUGGGUGUGACGAUUUUGAUGGAAUGUGUUGUAUGAAUCUGACCGAUCACUUGCGGUCUAUCCAUGCCAGUAUUCAGCAGCUGAUGGAACAAACAAGAAAAUUACAGGAAGAGGACGGAUUUUUCGGGUUGACACAUCUGUUCCAAGAAUGGGGUUUGUCAGGGUGGCUGCUAUCACUGGCGAAAGGGGGGCUGCUGGUGCUGGGAAUACUAAUAUGCCUUCUGUUGAUACUACCACGUCUAGUGACGUGCCUACAAAGCGUCAUGCAGAAGACAAUCCAACACAUAAUGUUUGUAGAAAAACAAAAAGGGGGAGAUGUGGGGUUUGGCAUUGAUGAAGCAAGCCUAUGCCCUUGA
rnacentral:lncRNA from 1 species